GUGCUCAAUUUGGCAGCACAUGUGCUAAAAAAUUAGGACACAGUGAUUAGCAUGGCCCCUGUGCAAGGAUGACACACAAAUCUGUGAAGUGUUCCAUAUUAAA